CGCUCUCGGAGCCCGGUGGACGGCGCUGGGUUUCUGGGCUCCAGCCUCCCAGUCUGUCCUGGGUGCCAAGAUGUCUGGGUUCGGUGGAAGUGGCAGCAGGGAGAACUUCACUGGAGAUGCUGUGCUAGGUGACUGAUUAUGAGAUGCAAGAGGAAAACCAGGUUAUCAAAACUCUGUGACCAGCGAAGAUACCAACACAACAAAAGCCUCCAUCACUCAGUGUGGCCUGGUCUGGAAGAUAAUUGUGUGCAGUCUGCACAGGCUUUAGAAUCUUGAUAUCCAGCCCAGUUCCUGUCCUACUGGAAGGACUUGCACUUCUGUUGAAUUGCUUGUAAUGGCAAGAAGUUAAUACCAAAAACAGGGGACUUGACGGAUG